ensembl:lncRNA
UUUUUCUUCUUUCUUCUUUCUUUCACAUGCCUGGUGGGCGGUGCCACCCGAUCACAAGGGCUGGCAAGGCUUUCGGAGCCUGGGGAGCGGACACCCGCACAAAGGGUGGCCAGGCGGCCCGGUCCGGGUUUUUUCUUCCUUCUUUCACAGCGCUGGGGGGCGGUGCCACCCGAUCACAAGGGCUGGCAAGGAUUUCGGAGCCUGGGGAGCGGACACCCGCACAAAGGGUGGCCAGGCGGCCCGGUCCGGGUUUUUUCUUCUUUUCUUCUUUCUUUCACACGCCUGGUGGGCGGUGCCACCCGAUCACAAGGGCUGGCAAGGCUUUCGGAGCCUGGGGAGCGGACACCCGCACAAAGGGUGGCCAGGCGGCCCGGUCCGGGUUUUUUCUUCUUUCUUCUUUCUUUCACACGCCUGGUGGGCGGUGCCACCCGAUCACAAGGGCUGGCAAGGCUUUCGGAGCCUGGGGAGCGGACACCCGCACAAAGGGUGGCCAGGCGGCCCGGUCCGGGUUUUUUCUUCUUUUCUUCUUUCUUUCACACGCCUGGUGGGCGGUGCCACCCGAUCACAAGGGCUGGCAAGGCUUUCGGAGCCUGGGGAGCGGACACCCGCACAAAGGGUGGCCAGGCGGCCCGGUCCGGGUUUUUUCUUCCUUCUUUCACACGCCUGGUGGGCGGUGCCACCCGAUCACAAGGGCUGGCAAGGCUUUCGGAGCCUGGGGAGCGGAUAUCCCCACAAAGGGUGGCCAGGCGGCCCGGUCCGGGUUUUUUCUUCUUUCUCUUUCUUUCACACGCCUGGUGGGCGGUGCCACCCGAUCACAAGGGCUGGCAAGGCUUUCGGAGCCUGGGGAGCGGAUAUCCCCACAAAGGGUGGCCAGGCGGCCCGGUCCGGGUUUUUUCUUCCUUCUUUCACACGCCUGGUGGGCGGUGCCACCCGAUCACAAGUGCUGGCAAGGCUUUCCGAGCCUGGGGAGCGGACACCCGCACAAAGGGUGGCCAGGCGGCCCGGUCCGGAGUUUUUCUUCUUUUCUUCUUUCUUUCACACGCCUGGUGGGCGGUGCCACCCGAUCACAAGGGCUGGCAAGGCUUUCGGAGCCUGGGGAGCGGACACCCGCACAAAGGGUGGCCAGGCGGCCCGGUCCGGGUUUUUUUCUUCUUUUCUUCUUUCUUUCACACGCCUGGUGGAAAAUUUACCUUCUCGCUGUUGACUAUCAAUCUAGAUUUGUUGAGAUUUCUUUGUUAAACAGAACAAAAUCAAACAAUGUCAUUACUCACGUGAAAUCUUUCUUUGCCC